rnacentral:rRNA from 1 species
AUGACCCGACUGGGUAAAACACUAACUUCAAAAUAUGCAGCAUAUUCUACCCUUUUUUUUUGGUUGAGAAAACGCAAAAGCCUUGUGUUUCAUUCCAUUGAGAAGGUAGAAGAGACACAGUACACACACCCAAACGGGCAGGAAAGAAAACGAUUACAGAGCUCAACAAGUUAUUAUGUAACUAUGUUUGUGCCAACAUUACAAAUUAUUACGAGACAUGGUAUACUGGCAGAAAGCUUCAACCUCUCAGUCGUAGAACUGAACAAUUUGGCUAGCAACAGAAAUAACCUGAAAAAGGAAAACAAUCUAUUAGGAUGGCAAACUUCACCCACAAUGAUGUUUGAGAAUCAAUUAGUCUAA